rnacentral:rRNA from 1 species
AAUCAACGCUGGCGGCGUGCCUCAGACAUGCAAGUCGAACGCGAAAUUUCCCUUCGGGGAGAAAGUAGAGUGGCGCACGGGUGAGUAACACGUAGGUAAUUUGCCUUUGGGUGGGGAAUAACUCAGGGAAACUUGAGCUAAUACCGCAUAAUGCAGCGGCUCGACAUCGAGACAGUUGUUAAAGCGGGGGAGUUGGAGCAAUCCGACCUCGCGCCUAAAGAGAAGCCUGCGGCAGAUUAGCUAGUUGGUAAGGUAAUGGCUUACCAAGGCGACGAUCUGUAACCGGCCUGAGAGGGCGGUCGGUCACACUGACACUGACAUACGGGUCAGACUCCUACGGGAGGCAGCAGUCGGGAA